rnacentral:antisense_RNA from 3 species
CUUUAUGGUGGCUGUGCGCGGGAGACCUUCGGGUCUGCCGGGUUCCUUGAUUCCCGGUUCGCCAACCUGCGUACAGCUGCCACCCUA